AGGAACCUGGGUUAUGUAUCAACAACUGCCACAGAGCAACUGAUUCAGAAAAAUGUCAGAAGCCGCAGGUGAUGACCAGGCUUCCCGGAGAUGAGUCGUGCUGCCAUCAUCACAGGCAGCUGGGUGCAUUCACCUGUCAUUCUGUGCUCCAGCCCCCGAAUGGCCAGGACAGAGCAGAACUAAUUCAGAAAAAAAUGUAGAAAGAAGUGGACUGCCUCAAAAAAAUGAACAGAUUCCUCAGAGUCAGGUUGCAGAGAGAAGCUCUGCAGUGGAGAGCUACUCUGGGCACAUCCAUGGCCCUGCUGCCUCCAUGGACCAACAGUGACUCCAGCCAGAACAUACAGAAGGAUUCAUUCUUGUUCAGUGACAAUAGUCACUGUUUUUCAGGGAUGAAAGAGAAGGAUCGAAACCUUUUGAUUUCACUUUCUAAAGAGUGACUAAACUAAUCUCUCAUUAAGCAUUACAACUUUUAUUUUAGAAACCCAAGUGUGACUUUAAAUUUGUGAGCUUUCCAGGUACUUUUCUUCA